GACGAACGCUGGCGGCGUGCUUAACACAUGCAAGUCGAACGGAAAGGCCCUGCUUUUGUGGGGUGCUCGAGUGGCGAACGGGUGAGUAACACGUGAGUAACCUGCCCUUGACUUUGGGAUAACUUCAGGAAACUGGGGCUACUACCGGAUAGGAUCUCCUGCUGCAUGGUGGGGGUGGGAAAUUCUCGGCGGUUGGGGAUGGACUCGCGGCUUAUCAGCUUGUUGGUGGGGUAGUGGCUUACCAAGGCUUUGACGGGUAGCCGGCCUGAGAGGGUGACCGGCCACAUUGGGACUGAGAUACGGCCCAGACGCCUACGGGAGACAGCAGUGGGGAAUAUUGCACAAUGGGCGGAAGCCUGAGGCGGCAACGCCGCGUGCGGGAUGACGGCCUUCGGGUUGUAAACCGCUUUCGCCUGUGACGAAGCGUGAGUGACGGUAAUGGGUAAAGAAGCACCGGCUAACUACGUG
rnacentral:rRNA from 1 species